rnacentral:hammerhead_ribozyme from 1 species
AGUCGAAACGGCCGGAUUUGCGGCCGUCUGCCGGGAUUUGCCGCCCGGCACUGAUGAGACAGGCAAAU